GGGACUGUAGCUCAGCGGUAGAGCAUCUGCUUGGCAUGCAGAAGGUCCCAGGUUCAAUCCCUGGGAAAUCCCCG